rnacentral:rRNA from 1 species
GACGUAGGGCGCGAGCGUUGUCCGGAUUUAUUGGGCGUAAAGAGCUCGUAGGCGGCUCGUUGCGUCGGCUGUGAAAACCCGCAGCUCAACUGUGGGCGUGCGGGCGAUACGGGCAGACUAGAGUACUGCAGGGGAGACUGGAAUUCCUGGUGUAGCGGUGAAAUGCGUAGAGAUGUGGAGGAACACCGAUGGCGAAGGCAGCCCCCCUGGGAUGAUACUGACGCUCAGGCACGAAAGCGUGGGGAGCAAACAGG